CAGAGCAGGACUGCGCUGCAGCAUUUAAAGCACAGGGAACUCAACUAGCAGCCUCUGUCUUCGACCAGCCGCACACGUGGACGGCACUUUGCCAUCCAUCCUGAAUCCAUCAGCACCAUCCUUACCCUUCAGCCUGUGACGCAGGAAAAGCAUGAAAACACAACUGCUGUGACGGACUGCAUAUUGGAACCAGUGUUAUCCUCUGCAGACUGAGAUUCGAUUCAUCAAGAGCAGAAGAUGGUCCAUAACUGAGAUUGCUAUGGUGCUGCCUUUGUAGUCUUGCUCUAUCUGUAACUGUUUUUCCAGUCAAGUGGU